rnacentral:rRNA from 1 species
GAGAACUCGGGUGAAGGAACUAGGCAAAAUGGUACCGUAACUUCGGGAGAAGGUACGCUCUUGAUGGUGAAGUCCCUUGCGGAUGGAGCUGACGAGAGUCGCAGAUACCAGGUGGCUGCAACUGUUUAUUAAAAACACAGCACUGUGCAAAAUCGUAAGAUGACGUAUACGGUGUGACGCCUGCCCGGUGCCGGAAGGUUAAUUGAUGGGGUUAGACUUCGGUCGAAGCUCUUGAUCGAAGCCCCGGUAAACGGCGGCCGUAACUAUAACGGUCCUAAGGUAGCGAAAUUCCUUGUCGGGUAAGUUCCGACCUGCACGAAUGGCGUAAUGAUGGCCACGCUGUCUCCACCCGAGACUCAGUGAAAUUGAAAUCGCUGUGAAGAUGCAGUGUACCCGCGGCUAGACGGAAAGACCCCGUGAACCUUUACUACAGCUUGGCACUGAACAUUGACCCUACAUGUGUAGGAUAGGUGGGAGGCUUUGAAGCACGUACGCCAGUAUGUGUGGAGCCGUCCUUGAAAUACCACCCUUGUAGUGUUGAUGUUCUAACGUCGACCCCUUAUCGGGGUUGCGGACAGUGCCUGGUGGGUAGUUUGACUGGGGCGGUCUCCUCCCAAAGAGUAACGGAGGAGCACGAAGGUGGGCUAAUCACGGUUGGACAUCGUGAGGUUAGUGCAAUGGCAUAAGCCCGCUUGACUGCGAGAAUGACAAUUCGAGCAGGUGCGAAAGCAGGUCAUAGUGAUCCGGUGGUUCUGAAUGGAAGGGCCAUCGCUCAACGGAUAAAAGGUACUCCGGGGAUAACAGGCUGAUACCGCCCAAGAGUUCAUAUCGACGGCGGUGUUUGGCACCUCGAUGUCGGCUCAUCACAUCCUGGGGCUGAAGUCGGUCCCAAGGGUAUGGCUGUUCGCCAUUUAAAGUGGUACGCGAGCUGGGUUUAGAACGUCGUGAGACAGUUCGGUCCCUAUCUGCCGUGGGCGUUGGAAGAUUGAAGGGGGCUGCUCCUAGUACGAGAGGACCGGAGUGGACGAACCUCUGGUGUUCGGGUUGUGUCGCCAGACGCAUUGCCCGGUAGCUAAGUUCGGAAUCGAUAACCGCUGAAAGCAUCUAAGCGGGAAGCGAGCCCUGAGAUGAGUCUUCCCUGAUACUUUAAGUAUCCUAAAGGGUUGUCGGAGACUACGACGUUGAUAGGUCAGGUGUGUAAGUGCUGUGAGGCAUUGAGCUAACUGAUACUAAUUGCCCGUGAGGCUUAACCAUACA